rnacentral:rRNA from 1 species
GAUGAACGCUAGCUAUAGGCUUAACACAUGCAAGUCGAGGGACCGGCGCACGGGUGAGUAACGCGUAUCCAACCUACCCCUAACUAAGGGAUAACCCAUCGAAAGUUGGACUAAUACCUUAUGUUUAUGGAUGGGGUUGCGUCUGUUUAGCUUGUUGGCGGGGUAACGGCCCACCAAGGCAACGAUCAGUAGGGGUUCUGAGAGGAAGGUCCCCCACAUUGGAACGGAGACACGGUCCAAAAUCGUACGGGAGGCAGUAGUGAGGAAUAUUGGUCAAUGGACGCUAGCCGGAACCAGCCACGUAGCGGGCAGGAUGACGGCCUAUGGGUUGUAAACUGCUUUUAUAUGGGGAUAGGUAUCAUAUGAAUAAGGACCGGCUAAUUCCGUGCCAGCAGCCGCGGUAAUUC